rnacentral:lncRNA from 12 species
CUUCUUGCAGUAAUUGAGGGAAUUCCAUCCUGAUGUGUCUUUCUUGUCCCAAUGUGUUUUAUUACAGCAGUGCUGUCUGGCUUUGAAGACCCUUAAAACCAGAG